rnacentral:rRNA from 1 species
UAGCGUUGCUCGGAAUGACUGGGCGUAAAGCGAGUGCAGGCGGUCUUUUAAGUCUGAUGUGAAAGCCUUCGGCUUAACCGAAGAAGGGCAUCGGAAACUGGGAGACUUGAGUGCAGAAGAGGAGAGUGGAACUCCAUGUGUAGCGGUGAAAUGCGUAGAUAUAUGGAAGAACACCAGUGGCGAAGGCGGCUCUCUGGUCUGUAACUGACGCUGAGGCUCGAAAGCGUGGGUAGC